AUCCAUCUGACGAGUUCUCAACAGGACGAAACGCGCAUCCUGGAU
rfam:Schistosoma mansoni, Puerto Rico, WGS project CABG01000000 data, contig: 0013